GCAAAUAUCACUUUAAUUUAUCCAGAUUCCUCAUAUGGAUAUAAAAAGAACCCCAGCUGCUUUUUCCCACCCUCUGUUACUCUUGAUACCUACAGUAGUGUCCUGUUGGCAACAGCUGCAGCUUGCUUGAUGUACUGUUUAAACCCAGGAACUGCAGACUGUCAGACAAGUAGAGAGAAAAGUAUUGGCCAGCUAUUUGUUCAGGGAUUGUAGAACAGUUGGAUUGUUGGAAUGGCAGUGAACAGAUGUCUCAGCAAAUAACUGAGGUCAGUAAAGAUUUUUGAUGUUCUUUCUUUUCAUAUUUUCAUUAAAGAAAAGGGUGAAGGGAAGGUAACCCUGCCCUGCCCAUUGGAUGUCAUUUCUUACCUUUUUAGAGAUAAGUCAGUUUCAUAGAUUUUCUUUUUAAAGGCAAGAAAAAGUGUAUGAAAAAAUUCAGAGUUACACAUUCAAGGGUCUGGGCUGACCAUCUGAACUUUCAUUCU
rnacentral:lncRNA from 1 species